rnacentral:rRNA from 1 species
ACGAACGCUGGCGGCAUGCCUAACACAUGCAAGUCGAACGAGACCUUCGGGUCUAGUGGCGCACGGGUGCGUAACGCGUGAGAACCUGCCCUUAGGCUCGGAAUAACUCCCCGAAAGGGGUGCUAAUACCGGAUAAUGUCUUCGGACCAAAGAUUUAUCGCCUUUGGAUGGGCCCGCGUUGGAUUAGCUAGUUGGUAGGGUAAAAGCCUACCAAGGCGACGAUCCAUAGCUGGUCUGAGAGGAUGAUCAGCCACACUGGGACUGAGACACGGCCCAGACUCCUACGGGAGGCAGCAGUGGGGAAUAUUGGACAAUGGGCGAAAGCCUGAUCCAGCAAUGCCGCGUGAGUGAUGAAGGCCUUAGGGUUGUAAAGCUCUUUUACCCGGGAUGAUAAUGACAGUACCGGGAGAAUAAGCGCCGGCUAACUCCGUG